UACGGGGGGGGCAAGCGUUGUUCGGAUUUACUGGGCGUAAAGGGCGCGUAGGCGGCCUUCUAAGUCGAACGUGAAAUCCCUGGGCUCAACCCAGGAACUGCGUCCGAUACUGGAAGGCUUGAAUCCGGGAGAGGGAUGCGGAAUUCCAGGUGUAGCGGUGAAAUGCGUAGAUAUCUGGAGGAACACCGGUGGCGAAGGCGGCAGCCUGGACCGGCAUUGACGCUGAGGCGCGAAAGCCAGGGGAGCAAACGGG
rnacentral:rRNA from 1 species